GGGAGUAAAAGUCGUAACAAGGUCUCCGUUGGUGAACCAGCGGAGGGAUCAUUACCGAGUGCAAACUCAUAACCCUUUGUGAACCUAUAUCUGUUGCUUCGGCGGCUCGCUCUCGGGCGAGCCCGCCGGUAAUACCAGUAUCUCUGUUUGAACCCGACGAUACUUCUGAGUGUUCUUAGCGAACAGUUAAAACUUUUAACAACGGAUCUCUUGGCUCUA
rnacentral:misc_RNA from 1 species